UACGGAGGCAGCAGUGAGGAAUAUUGGUCAAUGGGCGCGAGCCUGAACCAGCCAAGUAGCGUGCAGGACGACGGCCCUAUGGGUUGUAAACUGCUUUUAUGCGGGGAUAAAGUGAGGGACGUGUCCCUUAUUGCAGGUACCGCAUGAAUAAGGACCGGCUAAUUCCGUGCCAGCAGCCGCGGUAAU
rnacentral:rRNA from 1 species